rnacentral:rRNA from 1 species
UACAGAGGGUGCAAGCGUUGUUCGGAAUUACUGGGCGUAAAGCGCGCGUAGGCGGCUUUGUAAGUUAGAGGUGAAAGCCUGGAGCUCAACUCCAGAACUGCCUUUAAGACUGCAUCGCUAGAAUCGUGGAGAGGUGAGUGGAAUUCCGAGUGUAGAGGUGAAAUUCGUAGAUAUUCGGAAGAACACCAGUGGCGAAGGCGACUCACUGGACACGUAUUGACGCUGAGGUGCGAAAGCGUGGGGAGCAAACAGGG